rnacentral:rRNA from 1 species
AUGGCUUCUAUUAUCCAUCAAUCGUAUGAUCAAUUGCAUCGUGGACGGUUCAUGGCAGAUGAAGGAAGGGUUUUUGAUCAGCUUCUCCUGAGGUCCGGUUCGGUUCAUGACAAGAUGAAGUAUGACGAGCGAUACACAGAGUAUAUCCGGAAGACCGGGCUUCUCCCUUUCAUCUCACUCGUGCCUCGCUCGAUGCCGAAGAUGAACCCUUAUGCGAUCACGGCACUCGUUGACCGAUGGUGCCCUGAGACACAUACUUUUCACUUCUAUGCUGGGGAGAUGACUGUCAUUUUGCAGGAUGUUUCUCUUAUCACUGGACUUCCCAUCAAAGGAGAGCCUAUUUGUUUUAGCACAGAUUCUGAUGGAUGGAGUGAGAUUAUGGUUGGACUCAUAGGGAGGGAGCCAGGGGUACAAGGGAAGUCCGCCGGUGCAAGUUAUCAUUGGAUUGCUGAACACUUUGGGGAAUGCCCGGCUGAUGCAGACGAUGAAACAGUGCAACAGUAUACCAGGGCAUACUUGUGGUAUGUAGUCAGCCAGACUCUUUUCUCUGACGGCACUGGUGUGAACGCUUCCUUUAUGUGGAUUAAGCUGUUUGCUGGGUGGGAGCAUGGACUCAGUUGGGAUACGACGGCGUUGGCUUAUUUGUAUCGUCAGCUGGACGAGGCGUGCCGUAGGGGCGCGAAUCCAAGAAACGUCGUAGAGUCAAAGGAAGCCAACAUCGGUGGUCUGAUCCUUCUAUUAUCGAUCUGGAGUUGGGAGCACUUGCUAGUGGGGCGGCCGACACCAAAGGGUUACGACCGGUGGGAUGAUCAUCAUGACCCGGACCGUUGCCUACAUGGGCGUAUAAGUGGGACAAGGUUGAAGGUUUUGUUGGCAGUUCAAAGACCAUGUAUUUGCACUACUGCAACGAGCUUGACAUCAUGA